UACGUAGGGUGCGAGCGUUGUCCGGAAUUAUUGGGCGUAAAGAGCUCGUAGGCGGUGUGUCACGUCGGCCGUGAAAACCUGCAGCUUAACUGUGGGCGUGCGGGCGAUACGGGCAGGCUAGAGUACUGCAGGGGAGACUGGAAUUCCUGGUGUAGCGGUGAAAUGCGCAGAUAUCAGGAAGAACACCGGUGGCGAAGGCGGGUCUCUGGGCAGUAACUGACGCUGAGGAGCGAAAGCGUGGGGAGCGAACAGG
rnacentral:rRNA from 1 species